rnacentral:rRNA from 1 species
UACGUAGGGGGCAAGCGUUGUCCGGAAUCAUUGGGCGUAAAGCGCGUGUAGGCGGCUCGGUAAGUCUGUUCUGAAAGUCCAGGGCUCAACCCUGGGAUGCGGAUGGAUACUGUCGAGCUCGAGUCCGGAAGAGGCGAGUGGAAUUCCUGGUGUAGCGGUGAAAUGCGCAGAUAUCAGGAGGAACACCAAUGGCGAAGGCAGCUCGCUGGGACGUGACUGACGCUGAGACGCGAAAGCGUGGGGAGCAAACAGG